AACGAACGCUGGCGGCAUGCCUAACACAUGCAAGUCGAACGCGUGUAGCAAUACACGAGUGGCGGACGGGUGAGUAACGCGUGGGAACCUGCCCAGUGGUAGGGAAUAACUGCGGGAAACUGCAGCUAAUACCCUAUACGCCCUUUGGGGAAAGAUUCAUCGCCAUUGGAGGGGCCCGCGUCGGAUUAGCUAGUUGGCGGGGUAAGUGGCCCACCGAGGCAACGAUCCGUAGCUGGUCNGAGAGGAUGAUCAGCCACACUGGGACUGAGAUACGGCCCAGACUCCUACGGGAGGCAGCAGUGGGGAAUAUUGGACAAUGGGGGAAACCCUGAUCCAGCAAUGCCGCGUGAGUGAAGAA
rnacentral:rRNA from 1 species